rnacentral:lncRNA from 1 species
AUGUGCCUCUCGGCGUCGAAUAUCGAAGCACUACGACCUUCAUUGCUUUCAAUGGGAAACUUUUGGCGUCAGAAUUCGACACGAGGACAUGAGAUGUUUAUCGCUAUGAAAUCACGUUCAAGAAGUCUCAUUCAGCACACAUCGCGAUACUUGCUAUCAGUUUUUAUUUUUAGCUGAAAAGACGUAAAGGCAGUCAGCCCAGUGGUGUUUCUGGAGAGGGAUUCCUUCAGAAAUGGAGAAGACAGAAAGCUGCGGAGGCAGAUAUAUGCAGCAGUAAGUCUGUGAUAGUUUGUCCCUUUUAUCAAACAUUCCUGCUGUUAUAAUUUGUACAGCAUUUGUUGUUUCUUAAACUGUUGCACUGUCCAAAUACCCACACUUGCCAUCUUUUCACUUGACCACUUGAUUACUUAUUUGACGUCUUUCCUGUAUUUUGCCUAGUGUUCAAGUGAGCAUGAUGACCACAAGUGUGUGUCGAACUUUUCAUGACCUGAUGACUGUGUUACCCAAUCCUGAUACAUACUGUACAUUGGACAGCUUCCCAUGACCUUUUGUGAGAUCUCGGCAAAAAGUCUGACGAUUUAUUCCAAAACAUGAUGCAUUAUGGGAUACACUAAGCUUUGUAUAGUGCUCCGGAGCAGUAUUGGAGAGGUUUAGUGUGUGUUAAGGACGCUGUGCUUUGGCAUUAUUAAGACCGGGGACAGUCUCGUUCACACACUGUCACGUACACACACUCUCAAGUGGCCAAGACUGCAAGUGUGGGUAUCUGGACAGGGUCAAAGUCUUAAAAAUGAUCCCUAAACACAUCACAGUCUUAAUAAUCCAGUUUAACACUUGUAUGAUAUUGUACAAGCCCCAGGACGGUCUCAUCUACACUAUCAAAAGAAUUAAUAUGACUAUAGCUUGCUAUUAAUUACUUGCUUUCAAUAAUGGAUGCAUUUAACAUAUAAUUAUACAGCAUCUUUACAGAGGCUGCUUUUAUGGUCUAAACAAAACACAGUGUAAUGUAUAAGUUGAAUGUAAUUUAAUAUUUCCUUCCUUUCUGUCUUACAGGAUUGUUUGAGGAUAAGGCUGUAGCUCCAUCAUGCACAAGGACUCACCUCGUUAACUCUUUAUCCCCCGCACACACAGAAAUGGUCCCUGGAUCAGUGAUUAGACUUUGCAGUGGUUUGAUUUUUGCAGAAGAUGUAACUUUGUUUUAAUUAUAAGCUCAUAAUGAAUACAUUACAGAACCAGUGAUGAAAACAAUAGUUAAAAAUAGCGCUCCAUAUUAAAAAUAUAUUGAACACUUGACAUGCAUGU